UACGUAGGGCGCAAGCGUUAAUCGGAAUUACUGGGCGUAAAGCGUGCGCAGGCGGUUCUAUAAGACAGAUGUGAAAUCCCCGGGCUCAACCUGGGAACUGCAUUUGUGACUGUAGAGCUGGAGUACGGCAGAGGGGGAUGGAAUUCCGCGUGUAGCAGUGAAAUGCGUAGAUAUGCGGAGGAACACCGAUGGCGAAGGCAACCCCCUGGGCCUGUACUGACGCUCAUGCACGAAAGCGUGGGGAGCAAACAGG
rnacentral:rRNA from 1 species